CAUCGAUGCCGUUACAAACGGCGAGUGAGCGGCACAGCUCAAAUUUGAAAGCUGGCUCCUUUGGAGUCCGCGUUGUAAUUUGUAGAGGAUGAUUCGGCAAGGGCUCCCGCCUAAGUCUCCUGGAACGGAGCGUCAUAGAGGGUGAGAAUCCCGUAUGCGGUGGGCUGCCUAAGCCAUGUGAAUCUCCUUCGACAAGUCAAGUUGUUUGGAAUGCCACCCUAAAUGGGGGGGGAAUAUUUUUUCUAAAGAAAAAAACCGGCCCAAAAACCCAUAGCCCCCAAAGGGGGGUGAAAAAAAAAAACUUUUUUGAAAAAAAAAAAAAACCCCAUUUUUUUUUGGGGGGGGGUUUUGAUAAAAUUUGUUUGGCCCGCAUCGCUCACCGGCCUCCUAACGGGGUACUCUUCGGCGGCCAGCCAGCAUCGUUCGGCGGUCGAAAAGACUCGGGAUGUAGCUCUCUCGGAGGUAUAGCCGGGUGGAUGCGCCAGCCUGACUGAGAUCUCGCUCGGCUAGAUGCUGCGUAUGCUGUAGCGCCGUCUGACCACGCACA
rnacentral:rRNA from 1 species